rnacentral:rRNA from 1 species
UACGUAGGGUGCGAGCGUUGUCCGGAAUUAUUGGGCGUAAAGGGCUCGUAGGCGGUUUGUCGCGUCGGGAGUGAAAACCAGGUGCUUAACACCUGGCUUGCUUUCGAUACGGGCAGACUGGAGGUAUUCAGGGGAGAACGGAAUUCCUGGUGUAGCGGUGAAAUGCGCAGAUAUCAGGAGGAACACCGGUGGCGAAGGCGGUUCUCUGGGAAUGACCUGACGCUGAGGAGCGAAAGUGUGGGGAGCGAACAGG